UGAUCAACACGUACAUUUAACAGGUAAUAACAGACUUUUAUAGUUGUUCCGGUCGGCUCUUGGGACCCUGAAUCAAACAUUUUGAUACCAAAGUUUUUCAAGAACUAAAACCAAAUAAAAACUGUAUUCAAACAUCCUUAAACAAGACUCUGAUGAUGCUGAUGAUCAAUGGAUCAAUCAGUUUAUCAGAGUAAUCCAGGUCCCUGUUGGAGUCAGUCAGAGCAUUUCCAUAGAGAGCCACUUUGCAUCAGCAGCACCAUGCUCCAGUGCUCUGGGAGACUUUAUAGUCCUGAGAGUUGAACACUGGAUGACUGACAGCUGUCCUUCAUGACAACAGAAGCCACAGAAAUCCUCCUCAUCAAAAACAUGACUUUGAUCUGCGUCCUCAUCUGGACUCUCCUCUGCUGCUGCUUCACAGAGUCCAGAGGACAGGUCACAGUGACUCAGUCUGGAGCAGUGAGGUCUGCUCCGGGAGGCUCCGUCUCCAUCAGCUGUAGAACCAGUCAGGAUGUGUACUAUGAUGGUUCUGACCACAUCUUAGCUUGGUACCAACAAAAAGAUGGAGAAACUCCUAAACUGCUUAUUUACUAUGCUAGCACUCGUGAGUCAGGGACUCCAGGUCGUUUUACAGGCAGUGGAUCAAACUCUGACUUCACUCUGACCAUCAGUGGAGUUCAGGCUGAAGAUGCAGCAGUUUACUACUGUCAGAGUGGUCACUCUAUCAACAGUCAGAAUGUGUUCACACAGUGGAAAAAGCGUCGUACAAAAACCUCCCUCAGCUGA